AUGAAGCUCCUGACACUUUGUGGCUUUUUGCUUGUCUGUCUUUUGUGCCUCAAUGUCUUUGCUGCAGAAGGUCAGAAGGUCAGACGCUGCUGCACAAAACUACCCAAUCUCAAGAAAAAAAUACAUAAAGGUAUAAGUUCUAAAAUGACUCAAAUGGAAAUAAGGAAAUACUGCAAGCCUUGUUCUAAGCGAGUCCCUUUGGUGAUUUCUGGACCACUUCCACAGCUAAAAUGAGCAGACUGAGAGGAGGGUGAAAAGCAUCUGCCUGCAUGCACAACUGACAGUGCUUCACUAUCUUGAGGACCCUCCUUUCACAUUGCUUUUUGUUUAGGGAAAGGCUUCAGUACUGUUUAUUUAUGCCUUUACUCAGGCAGCUUUGUUACUAUUAGCCUGGCAGGAGGAGCCAGGCAAAGUUGUCUGGCUGCCACCAGACUGUGUCAGUUGAAUAUUCCUCUGCACCAAGCAGGGAUUUAGCUCCUUAAGUAAGAGAAUGAGGAGAGCUGAUUGAGAGGUAGCUGAAUUGCACUGGUUUGCAUUUCUGAAUUACUUAAAAGGUGGUGAAGGGCUGAUGCUUUUGUUUCAGUUAUCAAUAUACUUGCAAAUUUAACCCUUUCUUUGAGUCAUUUAUUUUAUAUUAACCAAGGUGUUUGUACGAUCAUUAAUCAUUGACGAUUUUUCCUGUAGCCCUUGUGCUCGGUGCUUGCAAUCCACUUGGAAGUAAAUUUCUACAAAUGAUAAAAAUCUCAUCAUUUAGAAAGAGCUGAGAAACUCAAUAAGCAGGUUGUUAAAAUUGUGGUGAUGGGCCAGAUGCAAGUAAGAUUUUCAAUAUGUUUUCCAAGGGGGCUUAAUCUGACUUUAAAAUCAAAGUGGCCUGGGUUUUAGCUUCCUUAAGAGUGUCAUCAGGUGGUUAUUAAAGAGCACACUGAAAAGAUAUUAAGCCUAAUCAGAUUUCAUCUGUUCCUCUGAAGCCAGAAGGCAGCUGUUCUUUCCAGACAUAGGAGUUGUGUGAUCACCUCAAUAAACAAAGCUUACUGGAGCAUGAAAUAAAUGCUAAGAAUAAUACCAAAGGGCUGAAUAACAGAGAAACUGAAGCACCUGCUGAUAUUUUAGUUGUGUAUCUUCUGUCCUUUCCUAACUGUCCUCUGCAUUGCUGCUGUUUCUCUGCCUGGGGGAGAGUCCUUAAAACUGAAUUACUUGGUUGUUCAUAAAUUCAGUUUUCCUUCUAGUGAAUAUGAGGAGGAGUAGAAACCUUCUCUGCUGCUGGGCAAAUUGCAGAUUGCAAAUAGUCAUUUUUCUGUCAGUACUCAUAGUACUACUCUUAACAUAAUUGUCAGUAUGAUAGAAAUGGUUUCGGUGCCCUUCACAAUUUGGGGGAGUUGAAUGGGAACAGUCAGAGGUCUGCUGUAACUCACACAGCCAAAUGCAAUUCCAAAAGGUCAAGUUUAUGGGCACUUACUCAGGGUCCUGCUCUUACUGAGAAUGUUUCUAUUGUAUGAGCAAUUAAACCUAAUUCUGGCUCUUCUGUGUGCUUGGUAUUGCUUUAUUUUCAUAUUUGUUUUGAAAGAAGGUAAAUCUAACACUCAGAUUUCUAUUUUUGAAGACCUGACCAUGCAUAGCAUUUUUUUAUAUCAAGGAGAAAGGAACUGCCAGUCCUUGCAAGACCUGUGAAUCAGGAGUUUGGUGAAGGAACUGUGCUUCAUUGUUUGGUUGCUGGUCAGGGGACCAACACAUUUUAUUUAUAUUGUUAUGUGGAGCUCACAGAAAUAAUCUACAGAAUAUAAAUAACAAGUAAAUGUAAAAAGCAUUUUUGGUAUUGUUUGAUGCAGGGUUUUCUCUGUAAAAUAUGGCCAUGUGUUUACAGCUCUGUAUAAAGCAUCACUAACAGGUUUGAAAAUUCUGUUCUCUAAUGUGAGUUUAAGCCCUUUUCUUUUAUAUCUGAAAAAUGCUCUCUGAUUUUCCUCUUUGCCUUACACCCUCCAAACAGCAUGCUCCAAACUCUCCAACCCUCCUUCAGGCAAAAUAUUCCCUCUGACAAGAAAAGCAUAAGCCCCAGAGACCAUUAGCACAAUUCUUCCAGAAAUACUCUAGAUCCCUGGAGAGAUCCCAGGACAUAAUUUAAUGCACUCAGGUAUUUUUACUCACUUAGUUUCCCAGGCUGGCCUCCAUCCCUGGUUGGGGGCUAUUCCAGUUAAAGAUGCUACUUGCCUGAAGUCCCAUCCAUCCCUGGUUGGGGGCUAUUCCAGUUAAAGGUGCUACUUGCCUUAGCUGAGUGGACUAAAGCAAGAACCUCCAAAUUAUGUCAGCAUGGAUUGUGACUGCUGUCCAAAUGCUUUGUUGCAUCAUUUAGAGGUGUCAGAAUGCUGUGUGUUCUCUUGAAAGUAAUUCCUCAGCAAAGUUGGACUCAUGAACCCGGCCAUUUCCCCAUGUGGUAGAACAGAGCUACCAUCUGAUCAUGGUUUCACUUACAGGCAUCUGUUCUUCCUUUUGUUUUCCUUUCACUUCUACUUGUAUUUGUCUGCCAUUACCAGAAGAGAAACAUAUUUGCUCACUGGCUCUUCAAAAUACACAAACUGUAUGCUUAUAUAAAGUGGUAAAUUUAUCUUGCCCAAGCUGACAAAUGCAUGUUUUGUAUCUUGUGGUUUUGUGUGCAUUCAGCUGUCAAGCAAGAAAAUUGCACAGCCCUUAAGUUGCAAUAAAGAUCCUUCUGAAGUGUCUCUAUGCCUGACAGAGCAGAUGUUGAAUCCUGGUCUGACCCUGUCAAUUAAGUGAGCCAGGUGGCUCCUCACUUUGUUUACAGCUUAAUAUCAGCAGCUACCACCAAAUCAGCCUGUUUUAUUUGGCACUAUGACUGUGAAUUGUCAGGAGCACAGGAGAAAUGAUCCCUGCUGACAGGGACUGCUGGUGUAGAGGCAAGUUUUGGGAUCUCCUUUUCUAAGUGGGUAGUAGGAGAAACAAAAAUACGUAUUUUUUAUACAAAAUAUUAUCCCAAAAGGUGUAGAAGGAGGAUGUUGGCUUUUCAGCUCUCUAGGACAAAAUAUUAUCCCAAAAGGUGUAGAAGGAGCUCUGGAUGUUGGCUUUUCAGCUCUCUAGCCUGGCUCACAACUGAUGCAAGGGCCUAGGUAUCCUCAAGGAAUUUAGGAUUUUGGCUCUGGAGAAGUUCUGUUUAUCCAAAGUGUGGACUACAGGGGCAACUCCUUGUGAUUCCAUUUGCUAAGGAAAACUCCAGUCCUCUGUGAACAAUGUAAUCUCAAACAAUAAACCUUGCUCAAAUGUAAAAGCAGAAGGAUGAAUAUUUCCUGUGAAGAUACACAGCUAACUCUUGCCAAAACCGAGUAGAGGACUCAUGGUGGCUUCAGUAUUCAUUGGAUCAAGUCUGAGGACCUGUUGCCUGACUCUGUUUUGUCCAAAGUUAUAUUGCUAACUAGUUUUAGGAAAAUGUCAGUUUGUGGAUGCAGGUCAGCUGCAUGAGCACUUUUUACCAAAGCUUUUUCUGAGAAGAAUUUAUCCAAAGUUUUCUCUUUUGUCCCUCUUGUAGAUUGAGGGGAAAACCCACUUACAAAGUCUUUUUCUUACCUCAGAUCAGCCAGUUGUUAUUAAAUAUAAGCAGUUAUCUUCAUCAUAGCUAAUUGCUCUGCAGGACUCAUUUUUUAAAUUGCUGUUGGGGAGCAAAGAAAUCUCAUUAAUGGCAGAAGCAAGGGUGUUCUAAUCCAUGUAUGCCUAUGGUUCCAGUAGCCUUCAGUAUUACAGGACUUACAGCAGCCACUGGAUAAUCAGCCUUGGUUUUGAAUAUGUAACUGUUCCAUUGUGCUUUGUUAUCUGAUCUAUCAGCACAGAAGGAAUUCC
rnacentral:lncRNA from 12 species